AACGAACGCUGGCGGCAGGCUUAACACAUGCAAGUCGAACGCAUCGCAAGAUGAGUGGCAGACGGGUGAGUAACGCGCGGGAACAUACCCUUUUCUACGGAAUAGCUCUGGGAAACUGGAAUUAAUACCGUAUACGCCCUACGGGGGAAAGAUUUAUCGGGGAAGGAUUGGCCCGCGUUGGAUUAGCUAGUUGGUGGGGUAAAGGCCUACCAAGGCGACGAUCCAUAGCUGGUCUGAGCGGAUGAUCAGCCACCUUGGGACUGAGACACGGCCCAAACUCCUACGGGAGGCAGCAGUGGGGAAUAUUGGACAAUGGGCGCAAGCCUGAUCCAGCCAUGCCGCGUGAGUGAUGAAGGCCUUAGGGUUGUAAAGCUCUUUCACCGAUGAAGAUAAUGACGGUAGUCGGAGAAGAAGCCCCGGCUAACUUCGUGCCAGCAGCCGCCGUAACAC
rnacentral:rRNA from 1 species